UAACAAGGUUUCCGUAGGUGAACCUGCGGAAGGAUCAUUACCUAGAGUUGUAGGCUUUGCCUGCUAUCUCUUACCCAUGUCUUUUGAGUACCUUACGUUUCCUCGGCGGGUCCGCCCGCCGAUUGGACACUUUAAACCAUUUGCAGUUGCAAUCAGCGUCUGAAAAAACUUAAUAGUUACAACUUUCAACAACGGAUCUCUUGGUUCUGGCAUCGAUGAAGAACGCAGCGAAAUGCGAUAAGUAGUGUGAAUUGCAGAAUUCAGUGAAUCAUCGAAUCUUUGAACGCACAUUGCGCCCCUUGGUAUUCCAUGGGGCAUGCCUGUUCGAGCGUCAUUUGUACCUUCAAGCUUUGCUUGGUGUUGGGUGUUUGUCUCGCCUCUGCGUGUAGACUCGCCUCAAAACAAUUGGCAGCCGGCGUAUUGAUUUCGGAGCGCAGUACAUCUCGCGCUUUGCACUCAUAACGACGACGUCCAAAAGUACAUUUUUACACUCUUGACCUCGGAUCAGGUAGGGAUACCCGCUGAACUUAAGCAUAUCAAUAA
rnacentral:misc_RNA from 1 species